CAUGGAGGGUGAGAAUCCCGUUCGGUUGACCUUAUGACGCUCUACGAUACGCUCUCUAAGAGUCGAGUUGUUUGGGAUUGCAGCUCAAAAUGGGAGGUAAAUUUCUCCUAAGGCUAAAUAUCGGCGAGAGACCGAUAGCGAACAAGUACCGUGAGGGAAAGAUGAAAAGAACUUUGAAAAGAGAGUAAAAUAGUACGUGAAAUUGUUGAAAGGGAAACGAUUGAAGUCAGUCGUACCGACGAGAAAUCAACUUAUCGUGUGCGAACUUGUGGGCGUGCGUGAGUUUCGGCCUCGCUGUUUGCAUGUUUGUGCGUUUUGGGUGUACUUUUUCGUAUGGUAGGCCAACGUCAGUUUCGAUUAUCAUAAAAUGACCGGCGGAAUGUAGCUUCGAUUUCGGUUGAAGUGUUAUAGCCUCUGGUAGAUGUGGUGAUUGAGACUGAGGAUUGCAACGAAUACCCUUUGGGCUAUCCGUCUGGCCUCUGAAAGUUGCUCAGGUGCCGAAAGCGUGCUUACGGUUAUCUAAGAUAACGUUCAACAGGUUAGAACGUGAUUACAUUCGUUAAGGAUGUUGACGUA
rnacentral:rRNA from 1 species